AAUCAACGCUGGCGGCGUGCCUCAGACAUGCAAGUCGAACGAUUAAAGCUCUCUUCGGAGAGUGCAUAGAGUGGCGCACGGGUGAGUAACACGUAAGUAAUCUACCCUCGAGUGGGGAAUAACAGUCGGAAACGACUGCUAAUACCGCAUAAUGCAGCGGCACCGCAAGGUGACAGUUGUUAAAGGAGCAAUACGCUUGAGGAGGAGCUUGCGGCAGAUUAGCGAGUUGGUAAGGUAAUGGCCUACCAAGGCUACGAUCUGUAUCCGGUCUAAGAGGACGGUAGGACCCACUGACACUGCAUAACGGGUCAGACUCCUACGGGAGGCCGCAGUCGGGAAUUGUGGGCAAUGGGCGAAAUCCUGACCCAGCAACGCAGCGUGAAGGAUGAAGUAUAUCGGGAUGUAAACUUCGAAAGAAUGGGGAGAAUAAAUGACUGUACCAUUUAUAAGCUCCGGCUAACUACGUGCCAGCCGCCGCAGUAAAAC
rnacentral:rRNA from 1 species